UUUAAUAAAAAAUAAAAAUAAAUUUAUUUCCUAAGCAAACUUGAUUAGUACUUAAAGAAUCAUAAUUAAGCUACUAAUUAAUUUCAAUGACAAAAUCUUGUUGGAAUAAGAUUGUCUACAACAAAAUAAUAACAUGAAGUUAUCCACAUUUCAACAAAGUAAAACAAUUUACGUCGCCAAUAAGAAUUUACAUAUAAAACAAUAACAAUUCCAAAUAUCACUAUUACGUACGAUGUUGUAAAUGUGAUAAAGAAACUGUCCGUGUCAAUUAAAAUGUCUGGGUCCAUCGCUGGAUUUGGUGUUAAUGUUUCUAGUGAAGAAGAUGAUGAUAGCACCAUAAUCAUUCUUUUUAAAAGUAAAAUAGGCGAUCAAGUGCAUCUAGGUGUUUCAUUUCCUGUGUAUGAUUAUAAAACUAUUCUGAAUAUAGUUGGCGAUCAAGUGCAUCUAGGUGUUUCAUUUCUUGUGUAUGAUUAUAAAACUAUUCUGAAUAUAGUUUCUAAAUGAAUGUUAUAGAGUGGCUGCUUUUAACAUUGGAGAUGGUUCUCUUAAAUAAAGUUUGCUGCACAGUAUAGCGAAGUAUAAGUUAUGGUGGAUAGAUAUGGGUUUGGAAGUGUAGAGACAAAUGUGAAGUGCUUGGAAGUUGGAAGCUAUAUAACACUAAAUACUACUACAAUUUUAAUAAAAAAUAAAAAUAAAUUUAUUUCCUAAGCAAACUUGAUUAGAACUUAAAGAAUCGUAAUUAAACUGCUAAUUAAUUUCAAUGACAAUAUCUUGUUGCAAUAAGAUUGUUUACAACAAAAUAGGAACAUGAAGUUAUCCACAUUUCAACAAAGUAAAACCAUCUACGUCGCCAAUAAGAAUUUACAUAUAAAACAAUAACAAUUCCGAAUAUCACAAUUAUGUACGAUGUUGUAAAUGUGAUAAAGAAACUGUCCAUGUCAAUUAAAUUAUCAU
rnacentral:lncRNA from 1 species